GGGAGGUGGGAGGAGAGAGAGAGAGGAGACACGACAACCAUAGCGUGAGAAGCACAAGUCGAGGAGGAAGCGAGAGAGGAGAGGAUCUAGGUCGAGGUCCCCGCCUAAUAGGUUGCUGCGUCGUUCUCAUUCGCGGUCGCGCAGUCCGCGUCUGUGGCGAGUGGGCGUCUGUCGCGGUCGCCGGUGGCUGCUCUCACGCGACGUGACUACAGUCGCUCGCCCGACAUGUAUGUCUCCUCCAAGCGGCUGGACAAGAAGAAGCGGUCCAGGUCCAGGUCACCAGCCUCCCUCCAGAAAGCGCGUGAAAUAUCAGCCAAAGCCAAGAUGAGUGAAACUAGUCUGUUUGCUGAACUAGUGAAGGACAGAACAUGCGCAAAACACUGAAGCAAAACGGUUG